GUAUUCACGGUGCCUCCUAUCAAGAAGUCCCGGUGAACAGUACUGAUGUUUUAGAAGCGGCGCAGUUUGCUGUGGUUGAAUUCAACAAAGCCAACACAGAAGACAGGUUUAAUUAUGCAAUUCUGGACAUAACAUUGGCUAA